rnacentral:rRNA from 1 species
GAUGAACGCUAGCGACAGGCCUAACACAUGCAAGUCGAGGGGCAUCGGGGUGUAGCAAUACGCUGCCGGCGACCGGCGGAUGGGUGAGUAACGCGUAUGCAACCUGCCUUCAGCAGGGGGAUAGCCCGUUGAAAGACGGAUUAAUACCCCGUAACACAGGGGCUCCGCAUGGAGAUUAUUGUUAAAGGGAUGCUUCCUUCGGGGAGUAUUCCGGCUGAAGAUGGGCAUGCGUUCCAUUAGGUAGUUGGUUGAGGUAACGGCUCACCAAGCCUGCGAUGGAUAGGGGAACUGAGAGGUUGGUCCCCCACACUGGUACUGAGACACGGACCAGACUCCUACGGGAGCAGCAGUGAGGAAUCUUGGCAAUGGACGGAAGUCUGAACCAGCCAUGUCGCGUGAAGGAGGACGGCCCUAAGGGUUGUAAACUUCUUUUGCAGGGGAAUAAAGUAUUCCACGAGAUGGGAUAUUGCAAGUACGCUGCGAAUAAGGAUCGGCUAACU